CAGCAGCCACGGUAAUACAGAGGGUGCGAGCGUUAAUCGGAUUUACUGGGCGUAAAGCGUGCGUAGGCAGCUAAUUGAGUCGGAUGUGAAAUCCCCGAGCUUAACUUGGGAAUUGCAUUCGAUACUGGUUAGCUAGAGUGUGGGAGAGGAUGGUAGAAUUCCAGGUGUAGCGGUGAAAUGCGUAGAGAUCUGGAGGAAUACCGAUGGCGAAGGCAGCCAUCUGGCCUAACACUGACGCUGAGGUACGAAAGCAUGGGGAGCAAACAGGAUUAGAUACCCGAGUAGUCCCUGUCUCUUAUAC
rnacentral:rRNA from 1 species